rnacentral:rRNA from 1 species
AUGAUGCACAUGCUGGUGGCCUCGGAUGGAGGCGGAGGGGAGAUGCACCCGUACGCCGCCGUGCCGGCGGAGCAGGAGCUGGAGCUCCACCGCGACAACGCCGCCGACGACAGCCUCGACGGCCACGUCCGGUGCCUGCGAUGCGGUAUAUCGGGUAAUGCGACACCCCAUAUGCGACGUGGCCCUGAUGGCCCGAGAACUCUUUGCAACGCUUGUGGCAUCGCUUACAGGAAGGGUAAAAUGAGAAGAAUGAUAGAAGCUGAACCACCUAUAGAUGAGGCUUCACUUGCUAAGCUUGUUCCUGAGGUGGACAUGGAAUUUGAGAGUGAGGAAAAAGCAUAUGAAUUCUACAAUAAAUAUGCUGGGCAUGUUGGCUUUAGUGUUCGAAAAAGCACGUCACAUAAAUCUUCUGAAAAUAUUACCAAAGUAAGGACUUUUGUAUGCUCAAGAGAGGGUUACAACAGGGAUAAAAAAUCGUUGGAGGCAAAGAAACCAAGGUUGGAUACAAGAAUUGGCUGUCCAGCACGGCUGAUUAUUAAAGUCACACCAGAGUGUAAAUACAGGGUCACUGAUUUUAAAGCAGAGCACAAUCAUCAGCUGGCCCCUCCUUCGACGAUGCAUAUGUUAAGGUCACAAAGGAUAUUAACAGAACUUCAGUCUGGGGAAGCAGAACUGUCAGAUGAUUCCGUAGUGACACCAACCACAAAAGCAACUGGUGAUCUUGUUGUGAGACAAGUUGGUUUCCUUCGAAGUAUUUCUCUCCUCCCAGCAGAUUACAAGAAUUAUCUUCGGUCAAAGCGCACGAAGGCAAUGCAACCUGGUGAUGGUGGAGCCAUAUUAAAAUAUUUGCAGACCAUGCAAAUGGAUAACCCCUCGUUCUUUUAUACCAUGCAGAUUGAUGAGGAUGACAAACUAACCAACUUCUUUUGGGCAGACCCAAAAUCUAGAGAGGACUUCACCUACUUCAAUGAUGUACUAUGUGUAGACACAACUUACAAGAUAAAUGGAUAUGGCAGGCCAUUGGCAUUAUUCCUUGGUGUGAAUCAUCACAGACAAACAAUUAUCUUUGGUGCAGCUAUGCUUUAUGAUGAAUCAUUUGAGUCAUAUAAGUGGCUGUUUGAGAGUUUUAAGAUAGCAAUGCAUGGAAAAGAACCAGCGGUAGCUUUAAUAGAUCAAUCGAUUCAGUUGAGUAGUGCAAUGGCAGCUGCCUGGCCAAAUACUGCUCAACGAGUUUGUGCUUGGCAUAUAUAUCAGAAUUCUGUUAAGCACCUGAAUCAAGUUUUCCAAGGCUCAAAGACAUUUGCAAAGGAUUUUAGCAAAUGUGUCUUUGGCUAUGAGGAAGAGGAAGAAUUCGUGUUUGCUUGGAGAAGUAUGCUAGAAAAGUAUGAUCUUAGACAUAAUGAGUGGCUGUCUAAACUGUUUGAAGAAAGGGAAAGAUGGGCAUUGGCAUAUGAUAGGCAUAUAUUUUGUGCUGACAUAAUAAGUUCCCUUCAAGCUGAGAGUUUUAGUAGCAUUUUGAAGAAAUUCUUGAGCCCUCAACUGGAUCUGCUAUCCUUCUUCAAACACUAUGAAAGAGCAGUAGAUGAGCAUCGCUACGCUGAGCUCCAAGCUGACUUCCAAGCUAGUCAAAGUUAUCCAAGAAUACCCCCAGCCAAGAUGUUAAAGCAAACUUCCCAUACGUACACACCAGUGGUGUUUGAGAUCUUUCGUAAAGAGUUUGAACUGUUUAUGGACUCUGUGUUAUUCACUUGUGGAGAGGCCGGAACAACUUCUGACUACAAAGUUGCUCCUUCUGAAAAGCCCAAGGAACACUUUGUUAGAUUCAACUCAAGUGAUAACUCUUGUAUGUGCACUUGUAAGAAGUUUGAGUUUAUGGGUAUUUCAUGUUGUCACAUGUUGAAGGUGCUUGAUUACAGAAAUAUCAAGGAGUUGCCUCAAAUAUAUCUGUUGAAGCGAUGGAGAAGGACUGCCAAGUCUACAGAUGAAGACAGCCAAGGCCAUGCAGCAAACGAUAACAGGUCAUCAUUAAAUGUCUCUGUACCUUCUGCAAAUCACCAUGGGCUCCAAAGCAUCAAUGCAAGGAUUCAAGACACAUCGCUUUCCAAUAUGCAUGAGAACCCAUUUCAUAGAAGCUCCUAA